GCCUUCUCUCCAGCUCUGCUCCUCCUCCUGGCUGGGGAACAAGAAUGGGGUGGAGGGGUGGGGGGCCGAGGGGGACAGGUGUCCAGAAACCUGGGGUUGGACUCUGAAGUCCCCUCCCCCCCAAAGGUGUCCUGUCUGAGUUGGGCAUUCCAGGAAAUCAUUCCUUCCCUUCUUCAUUCUUUCAGUCAAUCGACAAACACUCCCCAGUGCCAUUCCAGUACGAAACUCCUGACCUGACUGAGGACCAUGAACUUAGGGAGCCGCUGACAUUAGAACUUGAGCCCUGGGGCUUCCUAGCUGGGGCCUUCUGAAGGUCACCGUCCUCAGUUGUGGAAAGUGGCUUCAGGACGGCACCCAAACGAAUUUAAAGGUGAGAAACACAGGGUCCCAAGAAGGCUGCAUCGCCCCUUGGAUCAAAUGACAAAGACCAGGGCCUGGCAAGGCGGCAAGGGAAGCUG
rnacentral:lncRNA from 1 species